ACGAAGGGGGCUAGCGUUGUUCGGAAUUACUGGGCGUAAAGCGCACGUAGGCGGAUAUUUAAGUCAGGGGUGAAAUCCCGAGGCUCAACCUCGGAACUGCCUUUGAUACUGGCAAUCUCGAGUCCGGAAGAGGUGAGUGGAAUUCCUAGUGUAGAGGUGAAAUUCGUAGAUAUUCGGAAGAACACCAGUGGCGAAGGCGACUUACUGGACACAUAUUGACGCUGAGGUGCGAAAGCGUGGGGAGCAAACAGGA
rnacentral:rRNA from 1 species